GGGUUGUGAGGUUAAGCGACUAAGCGUACACGGUGGAUGCCCUGGCAGUCAGAGGCGAUGAAGGACGUGCUAAUCUGCGAAAAGCGUCGGUAAGGUGAUAUGAACCGUUAUAACCGGCGAUGUCCGAAUGGGGAAA
rnacentral:rRNA from 1 species